CUGGGACAUCAGAUUCAGAUACUAGCAUGUGGCCCCUUUGUGAAAAGAUGUUGAAACUUGUCUCACACUCUUUCUCUCUCAUCCUCUCACCCUCCCCUCUUUUCUGUCAACAUUUUUCACAGAUGACAGGACUUGUGUCAUAUUUCCCUUGGUGAAGGCAUUCUGUGAAAAAUGCUUCAAAGGGGAUGAGGCAGUGCUGGCCUCCUUGUCCUUCCAGUAUGGAAAGCUUUGUCACGGGCUCUCAGAGUCUUUUACUGACGAGCAGCACCUCUGGUUUCUGGAGUUUUAUAAGAAGCUGUGCUGUCUGGGUUUGCAGCAUGAAAAUGGGCAUUGCGAAAGCCAGACCUACCCAUUGGAGCUGGAGAACAAAUACGCCCUAGUGCGCAGGAACUGUGCCUACAACUUUCCUGCCAUAGUGUUAUUUGCAGAUCCAAACCACUUUCUGUCUGAAUUAUAU